UACGUAGGGUGCAAGCGUUGUCCGGAAUUAUUGGGCGUAAAGAGCUCGUAGGCGGUCUGUCGCGUCGGAUGUGAAAGGCCUGGGCUCAACCUGGGAAUGGCAUCCGAUACGGCGGGGCUGGAGUGUGGGAGAGGUUGGUGGAAUUCCCAGUGUAGAGGUGAAAUUCGUAGAUAUUGGGAAGAACACCGGUGGCGAAGGCGGCCAACUGGACCACAACUGACGCUGAGGCGCGAAAGCGUGGGGAGCAAACAGG
rnacentral:rRNA from 1 species